UUUGUGUUAACCGUGGGGGCUAAAUUCUGGUUAAGCGGCACAUCCCCCCGGCCCAGAGGAUGCUGAGGCAUCCGGCGUCAGCCAUUAUGUCACCGCGUCUCAUCCAUCGAACAGUCAAAGCGCCGUCCCACUACGUUUCCCUCCGCUUUGACUGUUUUAUGCGGCUUAACACGCAGAGUCGCGGGCAUAAAGGCGACGCGGUUCCUCGAAUGUGGCGCCGGCGCCUUUCAGCCAUAUCAAUGGGAGUUUAUUGGAGCGCACUCAAGGACGGUUGAUUCGCCGCUAGAAUGUCUCCCUUUAGUCUGUCUGAGGAGCUGUAAUGAUGAGAAAUUCUUCAGCGGAGCAUUGUCACCCCGGCGGUGCCCACCUGGAAGUCGAGUGUGGGAGCACCGGAGUCAUCGCCAUGGAAACAAGCCCAACGCCGACGGAUAAGAGGCAGACGCGGGGCACGGCGUACAGCGACGCAGCGGCACCGCGCUGGAAGCGACGCGCUAAUUGAUUGGUCGGCGGCGCCGACGGAAGCCCAGACCCGCGAUCCGGGGGCACGCGAUGUAGGAAGUUGUGGCACGGACGGAUGAGAGCCUGAAGGGAACAGUUGCAUCAGCUUCAAGCCGGCGACUGGACGUCCAUAAGAAAUCCCGUCCAGACAGGAGGACUUCCUGUUUGAUCAGUCGUUCAGAGGAAUGUGGAACACUUCCGAGUGCAGUGAGCUUUAACUGGGUAUUAAUGCAAAAGGAACAUCAGUAAGGUCUAACUCCCCUAUAAUAAGGCAUAGCAGCCUGCACAGGCGUCUCUGUGGUGAGGUAGAACACAGGUCACACAGAGGAGCUCUUCACCUCCAUCACAGGAAACAGAGCGUGAUGACCGGCACGGCCACAAAGGCUAAUUUGAUUUAUUUCAAGUCACCUGCGCGUCGCUGUCACGCAGGAAAAAUGGUCCCCUCUCGUGAGAAAAUUUGACUCGGAGUCACCACUGCUUCCUGACUACUGGGGAAGAAAAAUGCUGCUGAAGUGCAGUGGGUGGAUUGUGGCUAUUGGAAAGUCAGCAGAGCCAAUAUCACACAUGGUUGGCUUUGGUAUUAAGUAGGAUGAGAUAUCUAUGGAGAGAGAGGGAGGGAGCUCAGAGGACUAGUUGCUGCCGAAUCCAGGCAUUCUGGGCGGAAAAGCCGAUAAAGUGCUAACUUUGACUGGCUGAGAAUGAUCCAGACCACAGAUUCAUCUAAAAUACGGCCAGUAAAAAGAGGUGACGGUUCCUGCUGUAAAUUAUAAGAAAUUUAGUUCACCAGCAGAUGAUCAACUUCUGGAUAUGGGAGAUGUUUGCAGUACUUUGUCCUCAUCAUCAUCCUCUCAGUGCAGUGACGCAGCUCCAGCUUCCGUUCGUUCGAUGCUUUGCAGUAGUUUUGGUUUGUUAGUGCUUCGCUGUGAAGACGGAGCCGAAGCUGCCGAGCAGCGGCGUCCGCUCUGGAUACGUCUUCAGCCUCCUGUUCGUCUCGGCUCUUAAUCGACAGCGGCGGAGACUCCGUCCCUUUGGGCCUUCAGCAGCUCCCUCUGGAGCCGCAAAUCACUUCAUGCGGCUAAUUUCCUAUGCGAUUCCACUGUGGAAGCGCAAACAGCCCGCGUAGCGUCGGCUCCAGUGCCACAAGCACGGACCGCGUUCACUUCGACUGCUACCGAACCAUCAGCGCCCACGGUCCCGUCCAGUGGCUUUAAAUCGGUGCCAUGAUGACACUUUGAGACACUGAGCUUUGUGCCGCACACUCCCACUCUUCACUGCCGGCCACUUAAGCAGUGAGACGAUCAGAGGGAACGGCUUUGCCCAGUGUGAGAGGUUCGCACUGAAACUGAAUUAGGGCAAAUUGAUGGCAUUACUCCUCCGGCUGCGCUACUGGGAUGGUGUAAAUCACAUCGCUGCUGAGCAAUAAAAAAAAAAAAAUGUCAGCCCAUGGAUUAAAAACACUCUGGCAGUGAACUUUUUCCAUUCUUUUCUUUUUCUCAAGCUACGCAAAUAUGACAUUUACGUCUGGGAAGAACUGGACCCUCGGAGCAAAAGCAACAAUCAUCUGUGAAACGGAUCCGGCCGCACUAUUGUCCGCCAGCGGCUGAAUAGUGGCUUUUGAUAAGAGCAGUGUAUUAUGAGGCUGUUAAUAGGUUUUACUUGCUUUCAUCUGCAAUUCAAAGGAUUUUGCUGUACAAACAUAAUAAUUUGCUCUUCCCGUCCCAGCGCCCGCUGCGCCUCGCGGGUGAAUGCAGACGUGGGCCGCUCUCGCUGUGGGCGUCUGAGGCCCCGGCCCGCUGCUUUGAUCUCAUCUCGCCCCGUCUCGUCUCCGCACCUUUUUCACCGGGACGCCCCGUCGUCUUUGCGGGUUUCUGCCGUCGCCGGUGAAACGAGGGUCACGGAUCCACCGAGAUUCGUCACCGGCUCCAAUCGCAUUAGUUAAAUCCGGGGGCCGAGCGGGAGGCAGACGGGCGGAAAUUCAUAAGAGCUCGUUAUGAAGCACUUAAAAUCAGCACUGUGCCAAAACACGAAUAGAACAAUAUCAAAUGUGGACCGAAGCUGCUUCCUGUCGUCCUCCUUCACCCCCGUGUUCCUCCUUAUGUGCCGUCCUCCCAGCGUAACCAUUGGCAGAGACGCCGUUUUAAUCACCCCGCGAUAUUGCCUCAGCUCACGUCCUCCUUCCUCCCGCUCCACUCUGUCCCCUCGCUGUGGCAUUUAAUUUAUCCUCGAUGCAUCUGUUUAAAAUCAGGAGCGUGUGCCGCUCCUAACGACUCUCUGAAAAAAUACGCCCGUUUAUUGAGAGGUUUGUAGAGCUCGCCCGGACGCCCCUGCUGCCACCUUCCCAUUCCGCACUUGGUAAUAAAUUCCUUUGAGGUUUCUCGACAGGUGAUUUGAAUGAUUUAUAUCUCCCCUCACUGACUCGCUGCUUUCGCUUCCCUCUUAAUGUAAAGCGCCGCGUUGCGCCCUCGCACUUUGCCGAUUGCAGAUCCACUUCUGCCGAACGCCGCCGCCGCCGUGGUGCGGGUUUUAAUUUAGCACUCGCUAAUUGGACUGGAGCUCAGUAAUUGGACUGAAUUCCUGCAACUUUAAGUAAGCUGUUGUCCCCUGAUUGUGUCCUUUCUCAUAAGAUAGAGAUUACAUCACACUGGUUACUACCUGCUGUUAAGGCGACAGUAUGUCAGGACUCUUAGAUCAUCACGCUGGCGCUGGUGUGUGAGUGUAGCAUUAGAUCUGUCCUUUCCCUCAUUGGUUCCCCCGCUCCCCGGUUGACCUCGGGGCUCCCUUUGUAUUUGUCUCACAUAGGGUCCGCUUGUCAGAAGGAACAGGCCAACAUACGGUAAUGAUGCCCAGACAGGGUUGGGUAAGUGGUCAGACAGCUGCGAACUGCAAAGCAGAUGGACUGAUGUACCCUUUGCUGAGCUGAAUGUCAUUGGCUGGCAUUUCCCACCAAGCCUCAUGGAUAAGACUGCUGAAAAUGGCCUGGAAUGAAAAGGAAAGGGCCCACCUCAGGAUGAGAAAGUGGAGGGUUGUGCUUUCAAUUCAGACCUCACUGGUGCAUGUUAGGAAAGUGGGUUUUAGACUUAACCCCCAUUUUAAUAACCAGAAAACCAACGGAGAAAGGAAAAGUGGGAGAGUUGUGCGCGUUCGCCUGCUUUUUAAGGCAGAGGGUGCAAAAUGUGACUUAAAUUGUCGUGGCAGUUGUUUAAGAGAAGCGGUGUCAAAAGAGUUGAAUCCAGCGCUGUCAGAACUGGCAGGAAGACUGUGUUUUAGAUUUAGCCGGUGGUGUAAUCUGUCAACUCACAUGACAGAGUUUUCAUUUCUAGGUGUUUCCUGCCUCAAGUUGAAAUUGAAUUAUGAGUUGUAGCUCUCAAGCUUUGACCUACUCACUAUUCCUGAACAUUUCCUGACCCCGGUGCUGGACAGGGAGAUGUUCAUGAUCCGUUCCAGCUGUUAGUAGCGUGCCAAAUAUGCAAAUCGUGAGACAGAUGUCUAUUAGAGAAAUGAAUGGUGCUUUAUUCCAGGGGUUCCUGAAGUAUCUCAUCUCAUUCAUCUUGACAAACUAAACUGGAAGUUCCCAAGCUAAUCACACUGAGGCUUUAUUUAGGCCCAACAGGGCUUUUAGUUCGUUCUUAACAUUAUCUGCCUAAAAUUCUCAGCGUGAGGAUAGAGUCAUUUUUUUUGUCCUUUUUAAUUUUUCAUGUAAUAAAUUGCGCUGCCAGGAUCUUGGCGUCGGGUGCAGUAUAUCCCUGGCAGUGAUUUCCAAAGUCUUUCAAACACAUUCAAUCCUCUCAAGGCGCAGACCUCUCGCAGACUUCGAACAUAUGAGCAAACUCUCCGAGGGCCGAGUCUUUGCCCGUCGCAGGGUUUUUAUGGCGCCGGUGGCUGGCAGAGACGGCAGCGGGCCAUAAAUCCAGGUUUCAACACAGAAACGCUCCUUCGAAGAGCGGCCGCGAGUCCGAGUGGACCGCGUCCUCUCGCUGGAAGGUGACGGGGAGCCGCGCGCCGCUGCUUGCGGAGCACAAAAGGCAAACUCUAUGAAAGCAGCAGCAGAGAACGAUAAGGAUCUGUGUUUUUUCAUCCCCCUUCCCCUUCUUUAAUUUGGAGACUGCCGUUGGCAGUAGUAAUAACUGUAGAUUAGCAGUGGGGGGAUUUCUCUGGGGAGAGAGGCUACAGAGGAAAUCGUUCCGGGCCGUUCCUUGGCAAAUGUUUUUCUUUCCAAAGGCCAGAUCUCUCUGCUUCAUUGUCUUCGCAGCCCCCGUAUUUCCCCCAGUUUUACGGCUCUUCUGAGGGACAAUUUGUGUGUUGGGCUCCGCUUUUAUUUGUUGGUGCUUGGCGAAGGGUAGGAGAGGACGUCAAAUGAAAGCCAUUAAUCACCUCACAGGCUAUAAGAGAUAAUUGUGGAGGGAGAGCGAGAAAGACAUUGGGAGAGGGAGAACGAGCGAGCGGGAAAGGAGAGACGGGCGAGCGAGCGAGGGGAAGGAGUUGAGGGAGCACAAACAAAAUAAAUCAAGAAGUGUGGUGUGGGGAUUCUUACACAUAACAGCCUCGGCCUUCAAUUUCCUCGCACUUUUUCUUGUAGAGCGCUGGGAGGGGGCUGAUUCAACGCAGCGGAAAAGUGAAAUAUUAGAGUAAAUACACGACUUUUCAAGCCCCCAUGAUGCCCAAUUGAUGGUGCCCCGAACCAUUUGUUUAAAUUACGCAGCGGCGUUGGGCCUAAAUUUAGAGUCCGCUGACACCGGCACAGACAUGUACUUUAUAAAUGAAUUGUGAUUCUUCGGGCUCGGCGCCGGAACGGAGCAACAAUAAAAACGGUAGCGUUUACGCCUCUGGGUGAUCAGUCACAAUUACAGUCAAACAGACAGAACUCCCCCGGAUUAGAACCCGCAGCAUCAAACGCACGUAUUUAGUGGCUGUUUGUUCUGCUUUGGAGAAAGCGAAGCGACUGUUAAAAAAAACGUGCCCACGAAGAACACAGGACAUGAGACUGAUCUGAGUCUGCAGGGAAUUUAUGCUCCAAUCAGACGCUGCGUUCUGCACGCCCAGCCUCACGCGACGGCUCCUCACCUGUCUGUUGGCGACGCAUUGCUGCGCUUUCACACCCAAACUGUUUGUUGUGGUUGAAACAAGCCCCGGUGUGUUUUCCCUUGCAGCGCCCGGCGUGAAAGCUGCCACUCACGCUCAGGUGUGGGCUAAACAAGGUCUGGUUCUCUUCACUGCACAAACUGUGCAAACCAGUCAGUGCGGUCACAGAGGUACACGUGUGAAUCCGAGAGAUGUUGCUAUGUACCACUUUUCACUUGUUACCCCAAAUACAUAUAUAUUUGUCUUAUACUGUGGAACUCAGCCAGACACCAACUACUACAAUGGGCAAGACCAAGCUGUCAAAAGCCAUCAGAGACAACAUUGUGGACCUCCACAAGGCUGGAAAGGGCUAAUGCCAAGCAGCUUGGUGAAAACAGAUCAACUGUUGGAGCAAUUAUUAGAAAAUGGAAGAUGCUAAAGACGACUGUCAAUCCCCUUCGGACUGGGGCUCCAUGCAAGAUCUCAACGCGGGGGUAUCACUGAUGAUGAGAAAGGUGAAGAAUCAGCCUGGAACUACAAGGGAGGAGCUGGUCAAUGAUAUGAAGAGAGCUUGCACAACAGUUUCAAAGGUCACUGUCAGUAGAACACUACGGCGUCAUGAUUUCAAAUCAUGCAUGGCACGGGCAGUUCCUCUGCUUAAGUCAUCACAUGUCCAGGCUCACCUGAAGUUUGCCAAAGAACAUCUAGAUCACAUGUGUCGAGCGCCAGUCCUCGAGGGCUGGUGUCCCUGCUAGUUUUCCAGCUCUCUCUGCCGAUUACCUUGAUCAGGCAUGUCAGUUGACUUUUCCAGCUUGUCAUUGACUGAACACAUCUGGUCAAGGUAAUCAGUAGGAGCUCGGGCGGGGAGAGGUGGAAAAGCAGCAGGGCAGCGGCACUCGCCGGUAUCACUUUGACACCCCUGAUCUAGAUGAUCCAGAGGAGACCUGGGCGAAGAUCAUGUUGUCAGAUGAGACCAAAAUAGAACUUUAAAAACUUUUUUUUAAUUCUGUCCCACACCUACAACGUGAAUUUCAGAACCCUCCAUGAUUUGUAAGUGGGAGAACUUAUAUAUAUAUACACAGUAUAUAUAUAGUAAUUGACUGGUUUGUUUAAAAAACAACCUUUCGGUGAGGUCGUUGCUGUUAGCCUCAUAACAUUUACUUAUAUAUAAUUGUAUGGAUAUUGCAGAGAGAAGAAAAUGAUCCCUCAGUGAAGCACUUGUCAUCUUAUGAUGUAUCACUAAAACCUUUUCUGGCUGUGGGAGUGUGAUGUGAUGUGAAGACACUGCGUCAUGUGUCAGGAAAAUACAGUUUGAUAAAGCAAUUAUACACUCUCAUGCUAUAAGCCAAGGAGGGCAGAGUGUUAGGACUUGUGCUGUCUGCUGGUUCUAACUGGUUCACACGCUGACACACACAAGGCUCAGUGAACAGAGACAACAGCUCACGUCACUGUUAACCUCACAGGCAAGAGGAGCUGGCACCUACUCACACAGAGACAGGACAUCAUGCACUGAAUAAUUACACAAAGCCCAUUUGACAUGAAUAACUACCUACCUCAGAUCUGCAUAUAAAAUUUGAUUAGAUCUCAAUAUCAAGAGUAAAUUCUUCACCUCACUGAUGCUCCAUGAAUUGUGUCUUUCACAGACAUAAACAAAAUCCAUUUCUGUAAUAAUUUGAAGAGUAAGUUCUAUCUGCUUUAGUUCCACCUGAAUACAUGCGUUACAUGUUGGGACAUCUGCAGACAUGAAACUUAGUUGGGUCAAAGUUGAUUUGGAACUGUGACAAAGGUCUUCUCCUCUAAAUAAGUCUUAAUAAACAGUGAGCUUGUUUACGUGGAAUAAGAUGUUACCACCUGUGUUUCUUGCCCUGUUUGUUUUAUUUUUAGCAAUGUAACCUUUUCCAAGAUCUCACCACUUUCUGUUCACGACUACAGCUUUAUCACAAGCCGGAGUUAAACAAUGAAAACGUUAAAACUGCAAUAACUGGACUUUUUCCUUUAAUAUACUGUAGAGAAAAAGUGAUGUGUGGGUUUGACCUGUUUUUUACCGUUCAAAGCCACCACAGAGCUGAGUAAUACAAAUUAAUGUUGUUUGCUGAUGAGCUUUAACAAAAUAUGGUUUUAUCAGUCAUGUGUAAUUACUGCCAUCAGAUACAGUAUAAUAAUAUAUAAAUAUAAUGACAAUAAUAUAAGUAAUAUUUUAAAUGGUCAUGCAUGCUAAAUGUGAAAAAGUAGGACAUUAUCAGCCCCCCACUCUGUAAAUGAUGAGAUCCAUCAGUUCUAUACUCAGGGACUUGUGUAAUAACUGUCUGACUUAGCAUUGUGUAAUGGCAGGUGUUGUUUGGGUGAAGCAGCUGAUGUGCAAGUGUAACAAUAGGUGCUUAGGUUUCACCACUGGUACUAAUCCUGAUCUGCAACUGGAAGCGUUGGAUGGAGAAUUGAUUAUGUUCAUCUAUUGCGUUACCAGAAGGAAAAUGCAUUAUUGCACAUUAGAAAACGAUUUCAUGCUAAAUUAAUUAUGUGUCCUCACAAUUUCGCCACAAAUUGUUGAAUUUUGGUUGAAGGUUGCUAUGUACCCUUGUGCUUCUU